rnacentral:rRNA from 1 species
GUAAGGAAUAUUGGUCAAUGGACGAAAGUCUGAACCAGCCAUGCCGCGUGGAGGAUGAAGGUCCUCUGGAUUGUAAACUUCUUUUAUAUGGGACGAAAAUGGGGCUUUCUAGCUCAACUGACGGUACCAUAUGAAUAAGCACCGGCUAACUCCGUGCCAGCAGCCGCGGUAAUACGGAGGGUGCAAGCGUUAUCCGGAUUCACUGGGUUUAAAGGGUGCGUAGGUGGAUUGGUAAGUCAGAGGUGAAAUCUCCGGGCUCAACUCGGAAACUGCCUUUGAUACUAUCAAUCUUGAAUAUUGUGGAGGUUAGCGGAAUAUGUCAUGUAGCGGUGAAAUGCUUAGAUAUGACAUAGAACACCAAUUGCGAAGGCAGCUGGCUACACAUAUAUUGACACUGAGGCACGAAAGCGUGGGGAUCAAACAGGAUUAGAAACCCUGGUAGUCC